CCUACGGGAGGCAGCAGUAGGGAAUAUUGCUCAAUGGGGGAAACCCUGAAGCAGCAACGCCGCGUGGAGGAUGAAGGUUUUCGGAUUGUAAACUCCUUUUGUUAGAGAAGAAAAUGACGGUAUCUAACGAAUAAGCACCGGCUAACUCCGUGCCAGCAGCCGCGGUAAUACGGAGGGUGCAAGCGUUACUCGGAAUCACUGGGCGUAAAGAGCGCGUAGGCGGGAUAGCAAGUCAGAUGUGAAAGCCUAGGGCUUAACCAUAGAACUGCAUUUGAAACUGUUAUUCUAGAGUAUGGGAGAGGUAGGUGGAAUUCUUGGUGUAGCGGUAAAAUCCGUAGAGAUCAAGAGGAAUACUCAUUGCGAAGGCGACCUGCUAGAACAUAACUGACGCUGAUGCGCGAAAGCGUGGGGAGCAAACAGGAUUAGAUACCCGAGUAGUC
rnacentral:rRNA from 1 species